rnacentral:rRNA from 1 species
GGGCCAGGCGAGUGCUAAACACAUGCAGUCGAACGAUGAAGCCCAGCUUGCUGGGUGGAUUAGUGGCGAACGGGUGAGUAACACGUGAGUAACCUGCCCCUGACUCUGGGAUAAGCCCGGGAAACUGGGUCUAAUACCGGAUAUGACUUUUGACCGCAUGGUUGAGGGUGGAAAGAUUUAUCGGUUGGGGAUGGACUCGCGGCCUAUCAGCUUGUUGGUGAGGUAAUGGCUCACCAAGGCGACGACGGGUAGCCGGCCUGAGAGGGUGACCGGCCACACUGGGACUGAGACACGGCCCAGACUCCUACGGGAGGCAGCAGUGGGGAAUAUUGCACAAUGGGCGCAAGCCUGAUGCAGCGACGCCGCGUGAGGGAUGACGGCCUUCGGGUUGUAAACCUCUUUCAGUAGGGAAGAAGCGAGAGUGACGGUACCUGCAGAAGAAGCGCCGGCUAACUACGUGCCAGCAGCCGCGGUAAUACGUAGGGCGCAAGCGUUAUCCGGAUUUAUUGGGCGUAAAGAGCUCGUAGGCGGUUUGUCGCGUCUAUCGUGAAAGUCCGAGGCUCAACCUCGGAUCUGCGGUGGGUACGGGCAGACUAGAGUGAUGUAGGGGAGACUGGAAUUCCUGGUGUAGCGGUGAAAUGCGCAGAUAUCAGGAGGAACACCGAUGGCGAAGGCAGGUCUCUGGGCAUUUACUGACGCUGAGGAGCGAAAGCAUGGGGAGCGAACAGGAUUAGAUACCCUGGUAGUCCAUGCCGUAAACGUUGGGCACUAGGUGUGGGGGACAUUCCACGUUUUCCGCGCCGUAGCUAACGCAUUAAGUGCCCCGCCUGCGGAGUACGGCCGCAAGGCUAAAACUCACAGGAAUUGACGGGGGCCCGCACAAGCGGCGGAGCAUGCGGAUUAAUUCGAUGCGACGCGAAGAACCUUACCAAGGCUUGACAUGUUCCAGAUCGCCUCCCAAAUGGAGUUUCCCUUCGGGGCUGGUUCACAGAGGGUGCAUGUUUGUCGUCAGCUCCUGUCUUUAAAUGUUUGUUUUAAAUACCGCAAGCGAACCCCAACCCUCGAUUCCUUUUUUCCAGCGGGU